rnacentral:rRNA from 1 species
AUUGAACGCUGGCGGCAGGCCUAACACAUGCAAGUCGAGCGGUUGAAGGGAGCUUGCUCCUGGAUUCCGCGGCGGACGGGUAAGUAAUGCCUAGGAAUGGGCCUGGGCGUGGGGGAUAACGUCCGGAAACGGGCGCUAAUACCGCAUACGCCUUGAGUGGGAAAGCGGGGGAGCUUCGGACCUCACGCUCUCAGAUGAGCCUAGGUCGGAUUAGCUAGUUGGUGGGGUAAAGGCCUACCAAGGCGACGAUCCGUAACUGGUCUGAGAGGAUGAUCAGUCACACUGGAACUGAGACACGGUCCAGACUCCUACGGGAGGCAGCAGUGGGGAAUAUUGGACAAUGGGCGAAAGCCUGAUCCAGCCAUGCCGCGUGUGUGAAGAAGGUCUUCGGAUUGUAAAGCACUUUAAGUUGGGAGGAAGGGCAGUAAGUUAAUACCUUGCUGUUUUGACGUUACCAACAGAAUAAGCACCGGCUAACUUCGUG